CUGCUAGACUGACUACUAUACGAUGUUUUCCUUGGUUCCAUAGAUAAUCGCAUGAAUUAAACUCAUGUUCCUAUAAGUGAGUCGAACCCUCAGAACUCUUGAUGGGAAACGCCGACAAAAAGGUUUUUUUGACUUACGAAAUUUAAAUUUUUUAAAUUUACAUGUAUUUGCGAUUGGCAUUUACCCGUGAUUUGGAAGAUACCCGUGAUAUUGGAAUUUGCCCGUGAUGUGAUGAUUCCCCGUUGGGAGGAUACUAAUUAGGACCGAGAGGAAGAUCAGACAUACUGGAACUGACAUACUGUUCUUACUCCUACAGCCAGGCAAAUUGGGGAAUGAGUGGACAAUGGACGAAAGCCAGAUCCAUGCAUGUCGCGAGAGAGAAGAAGGUUUCCGGAUUGCAAAGCACUUUAAGUUGGGAGGAAGGGCAUUAACCUAAUACGUUAGUGAUUUGACGUUGCCUGAAUUACAUUAAGCGCGAUAACUUCGUGGCAACUUUCUCGGAAAGACAAAGGGUGGAAACGUUAAUCGGAAUUACUGGAAGUAAAGCGCGCGUAGGUGGUUCGGUAAGUUGGAUGUGAAAGCCCCGGGAUCAACCUGGGAACUGCAUCAAAAACUGGGGAGCUAAAUUACGGUAGAAGGUGGUGGAAUUUCCUGUGUAGGGGUGAAAUGCGUAGAUAUAGGAAGGAACACCAGGGGCUAAGGCGACCACCUGGACUGAUAGUGACACUGAGGUGCGAAAGCGUGGGGAGCAAACAGGAUUAGAGUACCUGGUAGUCCACGCCGUAAAUGAUGUUAACUAGCCGUUUGGGCUCCUUGAAAACUUAUUGGCGCACCUACCGCAUUAAAUUGACCGCC
rnacentral:rRNA from 2 species